CAACAGAGCACAGAGCAAGACUCCAUCUCAAAAAAAAAAAAGUUCUAGUGCUAUAGAGGAAAAUCUUCAUUUAGGAAGGCUUGGACUUUAACUACCAGAGAGUAUCAUAUUUCUGUGGCCACAAUGACUACUAGGGAUUUUUACAGGAUGUAUAGAGAAAGAGACUCAAAUUUUAAAAAUGCAGCCACUUAGAACUAUAUGAUCUUAGAGAUGCCAGGCAACGUCAUAAAGGAAGUAUGUCAGAUAUCUUCAUUUAUGAAGAUAAAGCUAACUUCAAGGUGAAAGAGGAACAAAUAAUUACGAAUAUAAAAUUAGAGUAUUUUCUGUUUUUCUGUGUGUGUGUGUGUGUGUGUGUGUGUGCAGGUGGUUGGCAUUACAGAAAAUAUAAGAAAAAUGAUACCUUAGGAUAAACCAGACUUAACAUAAUU
rnacentral:lncRNA from 1 species